GGAUAUAGCUCAGUUGGUAGAGUGCUUGACUCACAUGCAGAAGGCCCUGGGUUCAAUCCCCAGCACCA
rnacentral:tRNA from 1 species